GAUGAACGCUGGCGGCGUGCCUAAUACAUGCAAGUCGAGCGAACAGACGAGGAGCUUGCUCCUCUGACGUUAGCGGCGGACGGGUGAGUAACACGUGGAUAACCUACCUAUAAGACUGGGAUAACUUCGGGAAACCGGAGCUAAUACCGGAGAAUAUAUUGAACCGCAUGGUUCAAUAGUGAAAGACGGUUUUGCUGUCACUUAUAGAUGGAUCCGCGUCGGAUUAGCUAGUUGGUAAGGUAACGGCUUACCAAGGCGACGAUGCGUAGCCGACCUGAGAGGAGGAUCAGCCACACUGGAACUGAGACACGGUCCAGACUCCUACGGGAGGCAGCAGUGGGGAAUAUUGGACAAUGGGCGCAAGCCUGAUCCAGCCAUACCGCGUGGGUGAAGAAGGCCUUCGGGUUGUAAAGCCCUUUUGUUGGGAAAGAAAAGCAGCAGGUUAAUACCCCGCUGUUCUGACGGUACCCAAAGAAUAAGCACCGGCUAACUUCGUG
rnacentral:rRNA from 1 species